GACGAGGGGUGCAAGCGUUAUUCGGAUUAACUGGGCGUAAAGGGUGUGUAGGCGGCGCGUUAAGUUUGUCGUUAAAUCUUCCGGCCUAACUGGAAGUCCGCGAUGAAAACUGGCGCACUAGAGAUUGGAAGAGAGAAGUGGAAUUCCCGGAGUAGCGGUAAAAUGCGUAGAUCUCGGGAGGAACACCGAUGGCGAAGGCAGCUUCUUGGUCCAUAUCUGACGCUGAGACACGAAAGCGUGGGGAGCAAACAGG
rnacentral:rRNA from 1 species